rnacentral:rRNA from 1 species
UCCUACGGGAGGCAGCAGUGGGGAAUUUUGGACAAUGGGCGCAAGCCUGACCCAGCCAUGCCGUGUGCGGGAAGAAGGCCUUCGGGUUGUAAACCGCUUUUGUCAGGGAAGAAAUCCUCUGGGCUAAUACCUCGGGGGGAUGACGGUACCUGAAGAAUAAGCACCGGCUAACUACGUGCCAGCAGCCGCGGUAAU